rnacentral:tRNA from 1 species
GGAGGUGUGGCUCAGUGGUAGAGUCCAUGCCUAGCAUACAUGAGGCCCUGGGUUCUAUUCUCCAGCACCAGCA